rnacentral:rRNA from 1 species
AGUUCGGAGAGUUUGAUCUUGGCUCAGGACGAACGCUGACGGUGUGCUUUAGACAUGCAAGUCGAACGAGAAAGCCCUUUUAGGGUGAGUACAGUGGCGAACGGGUGAGUAACACGUGGGUAACCUGCCCCUCGCAGGGGGACAACCGGGGGAAACCCCGGCUAAUACCCCGUACGCUCAGAGGUCCGCAUGGUCCUCUGAGGAAAGGU